rnacentral:rRNA from 1 species
UACGAAGGGGGCUAGCGUUGCUCGGAAUCACUGGGCGUAAAGGGUGCGUAGGCGGGUCUUUAAGUCAGGGGUGAAAUCCUGGAGCUCAACUUCAGAACUGCCUUCGAUACUGGGGACCUUGAGUUCGGGAGAGGUGAGUGGAACUGCGAGUGUAGAGGUGAAAUUCGUAGAUAUUCGCAAGAACACCAGUGGCGAAGGCGGCUCACUGGCCCGAUACUGACGCUGAGGUGCGAAAGCGUGGGGAGCAAACAGG